rnacentral:rRNA from 1 species
CUCCUACGGGAGGCAGCAGUGGGGAAUCUUGCACAAUGGGGGAAACCCUGAUGCAGCGACGCCGCGUGAACGAUGAAGCCCUUCGGGGUGUAAAGUUCUUUCGACAGGAACGAUAAUGACGGUACCUGGAGAAGAAGCUGCGGCUAACUACGUGCCAGCAGCCGCGGUAAUACGUAGGCAGCAAACGUUGUUCGGAAUUAUUGGGCGUAAAGAGUGUGUAGGCGGUCUUGUAAGUUUGGUGUGAAAUCUCCCGGCUUAACUGGGAGGGUGCGCCGAAUACUGCAAGACUUGAGUACUGGAGAGGAUAGCGGAAUUCCUGGUGUAGCGGUGAAAUGCGUAGAUAUCAGGAGGAACACCGGCGGUGUAGACGGCUAUCUGGACAGUCACUGACGCUGAGACACGAAAGCGUGGGUAGCAAACAGGAUUAGAUACCCUGGUAGUCCACGCCCUAAACGAUGCAUACUUGGUGUGAGUCCUUCAUUGGAUUCGUGCCGGAGCUAACGCGUUAAGU